rnacentral:lncRNA from 13 species
GUGGCUUUCAGUUCUUGCUGAACAAGGAAAUGAAUGUGCAUUUCUAUUUUUGCUGCUUAUCAAUGUUCAUGACACAGUAGAGUUGAGAACAAAGCUUACCAGUGCUCUUGCUCCUUUUGUGGGCAUACUGUAAACAAGAAGUGGAGAGAGAUCAGCUUCUUCACAUCCAGACUGUUCAUUUUAAAUUUUAACAAAUAUUAACAAUGUGUCCUGGAGACCAAGAAGAGCAACAUUCACAAAAUUAGAGUGGUUGCACAUAACAUCUUCGCUGACAAAUGAAAAGCAGUGGACAGCGUGGGGAGAGGUCCUCACAGCAUUGGGGGUGUCUUCCUCCUCCUUCAUCUAUUGAAGUUUAUUCAUCUUUCAACGACCAAUCCAGCCUGAGUUGCCUUUGGAAAGUCUUUCCCUUCACAUGUUGCAGAAGGUAGAUGCUCCUUCCUGUAUGUUCCCAUGUGAGGCAUUUGGCUGAUACAACUACCAUAACACCAGUGCAGUUGCUUUAAAACAGCUGAACCCUCCCAAGGUGAUCACAGAAAAACACGGCAUGUUUUAUUACUAUUUUAUAUUCUCACUGAACUCUCCAUAAAGGCGUAA